rnacentral:misc_RNA from 1 species
GAUGAAGAACGUAGUGAAAUGCGAUAAGUAGUGUGAAUUGCAGAAUUCAGUGAAUCAUCGAAUCUUUGAACGCACAUUGCGCCCUUUGGUAUUCCUUAGGGCAUGCCUGUUCGAGCGUCAUUUAAACCUUCAAGCUCAGCUUGGUGUUGGGUGACUGUCCGCUUCACCGCGGACUCGCCUCAAAAUUAUUGGCGGCCGGUACAUUGGCUUCGAGCGCAGCAGAAACGCGAACUCGGGCCCGUCGUAUUGGCUCCCAGAAGCUAUCUUCACAAUUUUGACCUCGGAUCAGGUAGGGAUACCCGCUGAACUUAAGCAUAUCAAUAACGGAGGA